rnacentral:lncRNA from 1 species
CUGUGCUCAUAGCUACCACCUCGCUGCUGAGGGGAGAGAUUCGUGUUGCCAUGUGCCAAGACCUGGGAGAGACCCCUCGUUGUGUCACUGGGCAGGGGGGUUUGAGUGUCUGAGUUGUGAGUCAGGACAGGUCAUAUCUGACCACUCUGCUGCUGCAGGAAAAGGAAACCUCGUGGGUUACACUCUGACCACCACAGAGUAUUCUGACUCCUGAUUUUUGCUUCCCUUUUAGGUGCACUACAUCCUCCAGGAGGUGGUGAUGGGUGGGAUGGUGUUGGAAACAAACAUGAAUGAAAUCGUGGCUCAGAUUGAGGCUCAAAACAGGCUGGAGAAAUCCGAGGGUGGCCUUUCAGCAGCCCCUGCGCGGGCUGUGUCUGCUGUGAAAAACAUCAACCUGCCAGAGAUUCCUCGGAACAUCAACAUUGGCGAUCUCAACAUCAAAGUUCCCAACCUGUCCCAGUUUGUCUGAGGAUCAAGUAUUGGCCUGAAAUAGAGUCCUUAAGACAAGCAAAGACAAGCAAGGCAAGCACGUCUGGAAACAGAACCCAUUUUGAGCCUUA